rnacentral:rRNA from 1 species
UACGUAGGGUGCGAGCGUUGUCCGGAAUUACUGGGCGUAAAGAGUUCGUAGGCGGUUUGUCGCGUCGUUCGUGAAAACUUGGGGCUUAACUCCAAGCGUGCGGGCGAUACGGGCAGACUUGGAGUACUACAGGGGAGACUGGAAUUCCUGGUGUAGCGGUGAAAUGCGCAGAUAUCAGGAGGAACACCGGUGGCGAAGGCGGGUCUCUGGGUAGUAACUGACGCUGAGGAACGAAAGCGUGGGUAGCGAACAGG